rnacentral:tRNA from 1 species
GGGGAGAUGGGUCAAUGGUAGACCAUCUGCUUUUCAUGUAGAAAGUCUCAGGUUCAAGCCCCAACUUCUCCA